UACGGAGGGUGCAAGCGUUAAUCGGAAUUACUGGGCGUAAAGCGUGCGCAGACGGUUUGUUAAGUCCGCUGUGAAAUCCCCGAGCUCAACUUGGGAAUUGCAGUGGAUACUGGCAAGCUGGAGUAUGGUAGAGGAAGGUGGAAUUCCCGGUGUAGCAGUGAAAUGCGUAGAGAUCGGGAGGAACACCAGUGGCGAAGGCGGCCUUCUGGACCAAUACUGACGCUCAUGCACGAAAGCGUGGGGAGCAAACAGG
rnacentral:rRNA from 1 species